UGUCGAUAAUUAGGACAAACCCUAAUGAUUACAACCCUAAUCGGUUGAAGUUAGAGAUCGUAAUGACUAUGUUAGAACAUACACAGAUAAUUAGAGAACCCUAAUGGUCAAUUAGAAACCCUAAUUAAUGGCGUUAAGAAACCCUAAUUAGAAAACCCUAAUUUUCUAUAGAAAACCCUAAUUUAAAAUUAUCGGGUUUAAUUACGAUGUUAAUGUAUAAAAGUUUUAAUUUACCAAAGGAUAGAAGUAAUUGGUAAAUGAUAAAAUUACCAUCUAGUAAUUAAAUACUACAUUUAAUUGCUAUGUACAAAAAUGCCCAUGAAAUUAUAUGUGAAAUUACCAAAAU
rnacentral:lncRNA from 1 species